UACGAAGGGGGCUAGCGUUGCUCGGAAUCACUGGGCGUAAAGGGCGCGUAGGCGGCCAAGUAAGUUGGGGGUGAAAGCCCGUGGCUCAACCACGGAAUUGCCUUCGAUACUGCUUGGCUUGAGACCGGAAGAGGUGAGUGGAACUGCGAGUGUAGAGGUGAAAUUCGUAGAUAUUCGCAAGAACACCAGUGGCGAAGGCGGCUCACUGGCCCGAUACUGACGCUGAGGAGCGAAAGCGUGGGGAGCAAACAGG
rnacentral:rRNA from 1 species